UUCACACUCUUCAGUGGAUCAGCCAUGGACAAAGGUUUGCUGCUGGUUCUGUUGUGUCUGCAGGUCGUCCUGCUCACCACAGUCUUCACUUCUGCUGAUGCAGCCGCUCUGCUGAGAGAUGAUCAGCAUCAACAACCUGUUGAUCCAAUCAGAAGUCUGCAGCAAGUGAAAAAAGGAGGACAGACGGAGCAGAAACUUCCAUACUGGAUAUUCUGUGGGAGGAGACGAGGAGGAUGCACUUUGACAGGAGUAAGCUUAAUUUACUUGGAGUUUGUUCAUUGUUUAGACAUUACAACAACAACAACAAAACAAUCACAGUGUAAAUUUUGACUUGGAUGACAUUUGACUGAUUAUCUCUCUUCUACUUUAUAGCGUGUGCAACCUCCUGAACCAUCUUUUGACCACAUCAAGUCACACUCAAUAGACAUCUUGAGUCAAGCUCUGCAGGAAGUGCCAUUAGAUGCAAAAGACAGAAAAUGAAUGAAGAUAAUUGUAAUGCUUACAAAUCAAUGCAAGUGCUUUUUAUCAGAAAUAAAAGAUUUCAAAUCAGAUAUUGUGUUUUUCUAUCUUUCUUUUUUUUAACACCUCACAGUUGUGGAUGGUGACCAAAACAAACAGGACUCGCUGUCUUCUGACUGAAUCCUGCAAAAUCUUUCAUAUUACAAAGAGUGACAUUGUGCAAAAUAGGUUGAUUUUGUACCUCAGUUCAAUAUUCUCUAUAACCGAGGGUGAUAUGAAG
ensembl:lncRNA